rnacentral:rRNA from 1 species
AGUCGAGCGGACAGAUGGGAGCUUGCUCCCUGAUGUUAGCGGCGGACGGGUGAGUAACACGUGGGUAACCUGCCUGUAAGACUGGGAUAACUCCGGGAAACCGGGGCUAAUACCGGAUGCUUGUUUGAACCGCAUGGUUCAAACAUAAAAGGUGGCUUCGGCUACCACUUACAGAUGGACCCGCGGCGCAUUAGCUAGUUGGUGAGGUAAUGGCUCACCAAGGCAACGAUGCGUAGCCGACCUGAGAGGGUGAUCGGCCACACUGGGACUGAGACACGGCCCAGACUCCUACGGGAGGCAGCAGUAGGGAAUCUUCCGCAAUGGACGAAAGUCUGACGGAGCAACGCCGCGUGAGUGAUGAAGGUUUUCGGAUCGUAAAGCUCUGUUGUUAGGGAAGAACAAGUACCGUUCGAAUAGGGCGGUACCUUGACGGUACCUAACCAGAAAGCCACGGCUAACUACGUGCCAGCAGCCGCGGUAAUACGUAGGUGGCAAGCGUUGUCCGGAAUUAUUGGGCGUAAAGGGCUCGCAGGCGGUUUCUUAAGUCUGAUGUGAAAGCCCCCGGCUCAACCGGGGAGGGUCAUUGGAAACUGGGGAACUUGAGUGCAGAAGAGGAGAGUGGAAUUCCACGUGUAGCGGUGAAAUGCGUAGAGAUGUGGAGGAACACCAGUGGCGAAGGCGACUCUCUGGUCUGUAACUGACGCUGAGGAGCGAAAGCGUGGGGAGCGAACAGGAUUAGAUACCCUGGUAGUCCACGCCGUAAACGAUGAGUGCUAA